rnacentral:rRNA from 1 species
CCUACGGGUGGCAGCAGUGAGGAAUAUUGGCCAAUGGCCGGAACGCUGAACCAGCCAAGCCGCGUGAAGGACGAAGGUGCCAAGCAUUGUAAACUUCUUUUGUCAAGGGACAAAAUCAGGCUCGAGAGCCUGACCGAGGGUACUUGAAGAAAAAGCAUCGGCUAACUCCGUGCCAGCAGCCGCGGUAAUACGGAGGAUGCGAGCGUUAUCCGGAUUUAUUGGGUUUAAAGGGUGCGUAGGCGGGCUGUUAAGGCAGCGGUAAAAGCCCGGGGCUCAACCCCGGCGAGCCGUUGAAACUGGGUGGCUUGAGAUGUCGAGAGGUAUGCGGAAUGCGCAGUGUAGCGGUGAAAUGCUUAGAUAUUGCGCAGAACUCCGAUUGCGAAGGCAGCAUACCGGCGGCGAUCUGACGCUGAGGCACGAAAGCGUGGGUAUCGAACAGGAUUAGAUACCCCUGUAGUC